rnacentral:miRNA from 8 species
GGAACUUAAUACCGUGCUCU